CCUACGGGAGGCAGCAGUGGGGAAUAUUGGACAAUGGGGGUAACCCUGAUCCAGCGACGCCGCGUGAGUGAUGAAGUAUUUCGGUAUGUAAAGCUCUAUCAGCAGGGAAGAAAAUGACGGUACCUGACUAAUUAUCCCCGUCUAACUACAUGCCAGCAGCCGCGGUAAUACGUAGGGAGCAAGCGUUAUCCGGAUUUACUGGGUGUAAUGGGAGCGUAGACGGCUUUGCAAGUCUGAGGUGAAAGUUUGGGGCUCAACCACAGGACUGCGUUGGAAACUGUAAGGCUGGAGUACAGGCGAGGUAGGCGGAAGUCCUAGUGUAGCGGUGAAAUGCGUAGAUAUUAGGAGGAACACCAGUGGCGAAGGCGGCUUACUGGACUGUGACUGACGUUGAGGCUCGAAAGCGUGGGGAGCAAACAGGAUUAGAUACCCGAGUAGUC
rnacentral:rRNA from 1 species